rnacentral:rRNA from 1 species
GUAGGGAAUAUUGGGCAAUGGAUGCAAGUCUGACCCAGCCAUCCCGCGUGCCGGAAGAAGGCACUCAGGGUUGUAAACGGCUUUCGACGGUGAAGAACCGACAGGAUGCGUCCUGUUUUGACGGUAGCUGUUGAAUAAGCACCUGCUAACUCCGUGCCAGCAGCCGCGGUAAUACGGAGGGUGCGAGCGUUGUCCGGAUUUAUUGGGUUUAAAGGGUGCGUAGGCUGGAAGGUCAGUCAUCGGUGGAAAGCUAUCGCUUAACGAUAGUCUUGCCGCAGAUACUUCCUUUCUUAGAUGAGGAGGAGGCCACUGGAACGGAUGGUGUAGCGGUGAAAUGCAUAGAUAUCAUCCAGAACACCGAUUGCGAAGGCAGGUGGCUGUACCUUAAUCGACGCUGAUGCACGAAAGCAUGGGGAGCAAACAGGAUUAGAUACCCGGGUAGUCC